CCGCCGCAAGUAGGAAAGCCCCGGGCAACCGAGGCUGCCUUCCGCCGGUGGACCAGUCGCCGGCGACUCCAUGCCCCUCUCCGACCCUAGAGAUUACCGGGAGGAUCGUCUUGGUCCCCUGCAUCCAUUCCCAUAGCUUAGAACCCUUGGGGAGCCGUCGCCCAUCGGUGAGGGCCGCUGGAAGCCGCGCCCCGUCGGCCGAAGGAAGAACAAGGCACGGUUGGACCUUGUCAAAUCUGACCAGUGGGCCCUCUGGUCCACUGUCAGUGAAGGUCCCUGCCGAAGCGUUGAGUCGAGGCACAUUUCUUAGGAGUACGUCUUCCCUGUCUGAAAGCGUAUAUUAUACCGAAAUGUUUUCUUUUAAACUAUUUUAUUAAAAUCAAAAAGUUGACCUACUUUGACUAGCUCUGGUUUUUAAAACCACAAUUCCAAAUAAGUUGAUUCUUUUUGUGUUAUUUCUCAAAUUCCAUCUAGUUUAGUUACACGUUUAUUCCAAAAAAAAACAACUUUUCUAUAUUGUUUGGAAAUAUAUGUUAAUUUUAAUAUUUUUAAAAAUAGGAAAAAAGGAGGGAAGAAUCCUUUCAAAGAUUUUGGAGUGCACACUACCCUUGUUCAUACCCAAGGCAAACAUGUGGAGCACUUAUUUGUCAUAAGUGGAGUGAUUGCUUGCUGCGAUAAAUGAAUGCAUGUUUAUGUUAGUAAGAUGAAAACUCCCAUAUAAGAAAUACUUAUGCAUGAAUGCAUGUGAUGGUUAUUUUUUUGUUGUUGAUCAUAAUUAUAGAUGAUACUCUGUACUACCUCAUUCCACGUAUGCCUGUGUCGGCCCGGACAACCUUUGAGGAAGGUUUGUCGUGGGCAAAAGUGUGACCAUGAAAGUGAUAUCUCGUUGUGACGAGAGUGAUCAAUGAGGGUAUAUCGGGGUAUGAUGGUGGUAACACUCUCGGAUAUCAUUCGGAAAUUUUGUGAUGCUAAUCAUUGUAGGGAAACUUAAACCUGCUAAGUCGACAGUAGAUCGAGUCUUCUACGAGUAACCCUCAUACUUGAUUUGUGCUACCACUUGUCACUGCCACGGGUAGGGUACGGUUCAGUAAGUCAUCAACCCCUUUCCAUGCACACACCGUACAGAGAGGCCAUAGUGAACGAUACCACUGAUCACUGGUAGGCAUGUUACUUGGUCUGGGGGCAUGGGUGUUCCGGUUGCAUCGAGGGGGUAGCGCCCAUGUUUGCGCGUGGUAAAAAUAUGUUGAUCCCGUGCUAAUCAAGAUUGUGGUCUCCCCACUUAGAGUUUUUCUUAAUGAUUGCUUUGGGCGAUUACUGGCAUCGGAAAGUUAAGCUGGUUUGUAUGCGUUUGUUCAACUCAAAGACCGUAAGCGGAAUUAGCCAAAAUUACAGGUUGACUAAGGAAAUCCGUUACUCGUUGGUAAAGAGUACACCCUGUGUCGAGUUAAUAUAUAUUCGAAUAGCCGUGUCUGCGGGUAAGCACUACAUUCUGGGAUAGGUCAAGCGUCGGUCUGAGUGUUGGUCUUCGGAGGAAUUAAUUGAAACAUGAUAAUGACAUGAACCGUGAUGGGUGAUCAUAAUUAUUAUGAAUUUUGUUGUGGACCAACCAUUUCUUGUAUAUGAAUUUUUGAGUGUCCCUGGGAAGGUUCUACCUCGUGGAUACUCGAUGUUAUUAUUGUCUUCAUAAUCCCUUUAUGUGGUGUUGCUCCACCCGCCCGACUCUCGCAACUGUUAUUCAUUGCAUAUAAGCCCUUUAUGCGGCGUCGCUCUAGACGCCCGACUGUGGCAACUCUUAUUAUUUACAUAUAAGCCCUUUAAGUGGCGUCUCUCCAUAUGCCCGAUUGUGGCAACUCUUAUUAUUUUUAUAUAAGCCCUUUAUGUGGCCUCGCUCUGGACGCUCGACUACGACACAUCCGUUAUUAUUUUGUUAUAAGCCUUUUAUGCGGUGUCUCUCUAGAUACCCGACUAUGGCAUUACUUUUAUUACGCUGGUAUAAGUCCCUUUAUGUAGCGUCACUUUGACACCUGGAUGUGGCUUAUAUUGCGUGUCCUUUCGAGGUGCCGCUUCAGACGCCCGAUCGGCGCAUUUUUUUAUUGUUAGUCUCUUCCAUUGAUUGCUUAUACAUCAUUAGUAUGAAUGAUUUAUGUGCAUAAUAGCAUCCAUAUAUUAAAUAUUGUGGCAUGUGAGGUGUUAUUAAAAUUUUAGUACAUACAUAUCACCUGCUUUAAAUUAUUUGCUUUCGUGAUGUUUGUGAGUACAUUCAAAGUACUCACUGGCUUGUCCCUGCAUAUUGUCUUGGCUAGAUUACGUAUUUGGAGAGGAGCAUGAUGACGACAACCCCGGAACCUAAGCAUCGAGGAUAGCAGCCUUCCGAGAUAGGAGUCAUCCAGGUGAGUUGUUCCUGUCGGAAUGGAGUCCCGUGGACUCUAAAGAAUCCACGAGUCGCUUCUGCCAUCAGCCAAUAGACAUUUUGUUAUACCCCAUGGACCUUCAUGGUCUUGUUCCCCCUAUUUUGUAAUUUGCUUGUACAUUUUGUAUGAAGUGAGUGUCCUCCAACUAACAGUAGUUCUAGGGCUGGUUAACACAAGGGCCUGUUGCUGGGUAUUUUAUAUCCCAGAAAACCGGUCCCUACAACCUUGCUAUGAGAGCCAGGCUGACCAUUGGCUAAUCCUAUCUUAGCCAGGUCACUAUCCCUAGCCCUGAUAUUAGAUAUCCAUAUCCCAACCUAACAUACCCAAUAGCCAACCAUAGUGGCCAUCCGACACCCUUUUGGCAGUCGGUGCCCAACAUAUCUGCUAGUCCAUAGGCCGUGUGUCUAUGACCGACACCAGAGUUGUCGCACCUCCUAGCUUGCGAUGGAAGACUCACUAGGCCUAUGAAGGAAGCCUUGCCUUAGCCCAGCAACCCACAACCUUCAAUCCCAUUCCAAGAACCCCAAACUAGUAGGUCUUUUGGCCCCGUCAUUUUCCACGAGACCGAUGCAUUCGAGCCUGAAGACCUCGUAGCCAUCCUCGCCGACCUCACCCGCCAUAUUUUUGGCAUAGAAGAAAC
rnacentral:lncRNA from 1 species